rnacentral:piRNA from 1 species
GGCCAAGACAAUAGGGAAGAGGCCUUG